ACCACAUUCAUAUACUUUUUUUUUACCUUAUGUGCUCAUGUGCCACCAAUCUCUCUUAUAUAAAGAGUUGUCAAGUUGUGAUAUCCUAGUUGAGAAUUGCGAGAGAGAAAACUUUAGGUUUUUGAGUUAUUUUUUCCUAAAGUAAUAAGAGAGUUUUUAUUGAGAUUGUGUGUGAAAUUCUUUCUUUUGAAUUCUAGAAUUCUAGAAUCUUGAGCUUGUUGUUUUAUCCCCUAUUAAUGACUUUGUCUUUAUGUUUUUUUUGUUGGAGACUCUAAUGCCCUUAAGAGGGCCAAAUCUCAGGAAAAUGAUGAAGAUGAAGAAAUGGCUCGGGAAAUGAUGUAAGUGUAUAUGUCUUCUCAUGAAACGAUUCUUUUUUUGGGAAAAGUAUGUAUUUUGUAGUAAUGAAGCUUUAUUUUGGAUGAUAAUCAUUAACAACAAUUGAAAAAUAGUAAUAACUAAUAAGUAAUGUUUGUAGUAAUUAAUGAAACUUUAUUUUGGAUGAUAAUUAUUAACGACAACUGAAAAAUAGUAAUAAGUAACGUUUGUAGUAAUUAAUGAAUCUUUAUUUUGGAUGAUAUUUAUUAACGAUUAAUAAUAAGUAAUGUUUGUAGUAACUAAUGAAGCUUUAUUUUGGAUGAUAAUUAUUAACAAUAAUUGAAAAAUAAUAAUAAAUAAUGUUUGUAGUAAUUAAUGAAGCUUUAUUUUGGAUGAUAAUUAUUAACAACAAUUGGAAAUAGUAAUAAGUAACGUUUGAAGUAAUUAAUGAAGCUUAAUUUUGGAUGAUAAUUAUUAACGAUAAUUGAAAAAUAGUAAUAAGUAAUGUUUGUAGUAAUUAAUAAAGCUUUAUUUUGGAUGAUAAUUAUUAAAAAAAACUAAAAACUAAAAACUAAACAAGAAAAUAAGUUUUUUGUUGAAAUCUGGUUGUUAGUAAAUAUUUUGUUGAUUGUCUUGGAAAAAAAAUCACUAUUUACAUAAUGAGUGUGAAAAUAUGUUUUUGGGUUUGUCGGGUAAAUGUGCAAGAAAUAUGAUACUGCAAAAUCUUUUCAACAAGUGAAAGAUAAUUGCAAAAACAUUGAAGAUUUGUUUAGAGACAUUGCUUACAAAAAAAGACAUCCCUUCAGUUUUUGGGACAUGAAAGGUAUUUAUAUAUGAAUCUGUUUAUAAAAUUAAGGAUAUCCCUUUUGUUUAAUGAAUGUGUUAAACAUGUCUUUUGCUCACAAAUAUAAAGAGAACUUAGAUGAAGAAAAUGAAAAUUUGUUAAGAGAAUUUUGUUGUAAUUUGGUAUGAUCUUAUUUUCUUCACAUAACUAAAGUCUUCUUUGUUAGUAUAUAUCUUGUUGGUUCUCUUGAAAAGAAAUUCACUAUUUACAUAAUAAAUCAUCAAAUCAUUUAAGUGUGCAAAUUUGUUUUUGGGUUUCUCUCAUAUUAUAUUCAUUUUUCUUUUAAUCAUUUGGCAAGGAACCUGAUAUAUGAAAUUUUUUACACCAAGUUAAAGAUAUUUACAAAAAUAUUGAAGACUUGCUCAAGAGAUUACUUACAAAAAAAGGAUGUCCCUUGUGUUUCUGCCAUAUAGCAAGUAUAUACUAGCAAAUUUAAUAAGAGAAAUGAAUUAGUGAAUAAAGUAACUAAGCCACCAAGAUAUAUUGCACAACAUUAGUACACUAGCAUCAUUCGAGGUUUAAUAUAUUCUAAGUUAGAAUACAACUAAAUUAUCUUAAUAUGAAAUAAAUAAGUUUUCACCAUUGAUCAGUUAAUGUAUUUGCUCUUCACAAUUGAUUUAGAACACAAAAAUAAUACUAGAUAUAAAUCUAAUUUAUACACAUGUACAUAUUAGUGUAUAUAUAUAUAUAUAUAUAUUAUGUACCCUCAUUUUAUAGUUUUUGAAUUAAGUAUUGACGCUGAACAAUGCAAAUUAUACAAUUUCAUGAAAUCUACGACAUGAAAUAGCAUCAUGAAAAUGUUGUGGAUUUCAUGAAAUGAUAUUAUUCGCAUUGCUUGCCUCAGAGCCAAAUAAAUAAAAAAAUAAGUAUCGUGCGAUUUAAAUGUUAACAAUAUGUUGUUUCAUAAAAUGGUAUUAUCAUCUCUCUAAUUACUUAUUUAUUCUCUAUUUUUAUAUAUAACGGUUAUUCAGCUUAAUUGUUAACCAUCUUUUAUACUUUUUUCCCUAAAAUUUUAUAAUAUUUAUCCUAUUAAUUCACAUGGACUCUGUUUACGAUGACCUACAACUUUUUUUUUUUUCAACGACCUACAACUUUUAUUUUGAGUGAAAAUAAACAAAUUCAGAGACUCCCUUGAUGUCUCAAAUUCAGAUAUCUCAAUCGAUCAUAUAUAUUAUGCAUAAUCUGCCAUGUUUGAUUUAUUAUUGGUCCAGUUUCUAAUGGUUAAAAAAAAAAGACAAAAUUUUCAUCUCAUGUUUCAGUUUUUGAAUUAUAUUCAGAAUUUACCAUGUCGUGUGGAUGUAAAUUACGUUACGGUUUGAAUGAAUGCUAGAUUUGUACUUAAUUUAGUGUAUUUUAAAUCUAAUUGUCAAACUCAACAUAUGGGAUAAAGACUAAUCUGUUAGGUUCUGGUUUGACUUUUGGAACUAGGGACUAAAAAUGGGAAUUUGAAGUAUAUGACUCUAAACAUGCUUUGAUUGUGAAAGCUACACCAAAUGGUUUUGCUUUAUUUGGUUGGAAUUGUAGAAAACAACGUAUAAAACUGAAACACAAGAAACAAUAUAUAUAUAUAUUCUUUAAGUUAAAUUAAAUUAUUUAAAAUUAUAUUUUUUGGACAAAAUUAUUUGAAAUUACAAUAAAACAUUAUUUCUCUAAUUCGCAAUUGAAUUUGAAUCUACCGGUUUAAUCGCAUUUCUUCCGACGAAAUGAAUGAAUGAGAACCACACACCUUUAUAUUAAUAAACAAUUCAACAGACCCAACAGUCUAACCUCUACAAGGCCAUAACACUAAUCUCUCACAAUCCACAUAAUUUGAAAAUGUCUUAUAAGAAUGUAAAACGUUUUUUUAAUAUGUACAUAUAACCAAAAGCACAUCAAAAAAAAUAUAAAGAAAAUAAGACACACUACUAUUAAACAGAAAAAAGAAUCUAGAAUAGUAUUGGUAGUAUACAAAAGAUGUGAUCAUGUUAUAUGAACCAAAAAUAUAUUUAGAUAAUAAGCAUAAAAAUGGUACGUACUACGAAAAUAAUUCGAAAACGCGUCAAUUUUAUAAAGAUCUUUCAACUCUUUAUAAUUUCAUUUAAUUUCCUAAAUAGUCCUUACAAUUUUUUAAUAUUUUUUAUGUGGUUAAUAUUACAAAGCAGACAACACAUUCAUAUACUU